AAAAAAAAAAAAAAAAAAUCUAAAGUGAAGUGCCAGAUCACAACUUUUUUCCAAAAAAAAUUCAACAAAAAUUUAUGAACUUUUAUCUACUUGGCUGGAGUUCAUGCUCAUUUUUGUUUAAUAUAUUUCCUGAAUUUUUUGUUCCCCACUUCUCUCUUAUUGUUGAAACGCCAUGUAAUCAUUGUAAAUGUAUAAGAUCAUGAUCCCUAGAUCCAGGUUUUAUACUUUUCUUACAUUUGUUUUGUGUACAGUAUCCUAACUCCUUACUACGAUGA
rnacentral:misc_RNA from 1 species